rnacentral:rRNA from 1 species
GGCUUGCACAGGUGCUGCAUGGCUGUCGUCAGCUCGUGUCGUGAGAUGUUCGGUUAAGUCCGUUAACGAGCGCAACCCUCGCUGUGUGUUACAAGUGUCACACGGUACUGCCGGUCUUAAGCCGGAGGAAGGUGGGGAUGACGUCAAGUCAGCAUGGCCUUUAUGUCCUGGGCUACACACACGCUACAAUGGCCAACACAAUAGGUUGCUAAGCCGCGAGGUGGAGCCAAUCCUCAAAGUUGGUCUCAGUUCAGAUUGCAGGCUGCAACCCGCCUGCAUGAAGAUGGAGUUGCUAGUAACCGCAGGUCAGCUAUACUGCGGUGAAUACGUUCCCGGGGCUU